rnacentral:rRNA from 1 species
GAUGAACGCUGGCGGCAUGCUUUACACAUGCAAGUCGGACGGGAAGUGGUGUUUCCCGUGGCGGACGGGUGAGUAACGCGUAAGAACCUGCCCUUGGGAGGGGAACAACAGCUGGAAACGGCUGCUAAUACCCCGUAGGCUGAGGAGCGAAAGGAGGAAUCCGCCCAAGGAGGGGCUCGCGUCUGAUUAGCUAGUUGGUGAGGUAAUAGCUUACCAAGGCCGUGAUCAGUAGCUGGUCCGAGAGGAUGAUCAGCCACACUGGGACUGAGACAAGGCCCAGACUCCUACGGGAGGCAGCAGUGGGGAAUGUGCCGCAAUGGGCGAAAGCCUGACGGAGCAAUGCCGCGUGGAGGUAAAAGGCCUACGGGUCAUGAACUUCUUUUCCUGGAGAAGAAACAAUGACGGUAGCUGGGGAAUAAGCAUCGGCUAACUCGGUG